UUGUUGGAAAAAAUGGAGUUUCGCCGGAAAUAAUGAACACUAAAGUAAGAAGACGAUCGAUCACUGAUUUCUUGUUUUUCUUUUUUGUGUCUUUAUGUAAUGACAUUUGCUUAACAUUCCAUGUCAAUGAAAAGGAAUCCCCACUUCAUCUUUUUUUUUUUUUUUGUAUUUCUUUUGUUUAAAGAUUUAUAUUUAAUUUAUGUUUGGGUUUAAUUUGACAAAAGAGAUGAACAAGGGAUAAAUAUUUUUGGUGACAGCAGAGAUAACACUUUUUCCGACGAAAAACUUAAGUUGGCCGAUUUGAAUGUGUGGAUGGUAACAACUGAUUGGGUAAGCUGGUGUAUUGGAGAAAGAGAAUGGCUGAAAAUCGAAAAGGAAGGAGAAAGAAUUGUGAAUGGUGAUGGCUCCAACUUGUAAUGGAAAAAUGGUGAUGGGAGCUUUCUCAAAGAAGAAGAAGAUAUAAAAUCUUUUUCCCUUUUUUUUUUGCUAAAAGAUUAUGCUACAAACACUUUGUCAUGUCAGCAAAAAGGAUUUAAUAGGUAUAAAUUUCUUGCUGUCUAGGUGUUCAAUAGGUACAAGUCUUAAUUGAGGGGUUCAAGUGAAAUAUGCGGACAACUGUAAGUGGCUAUUGAUGACUUAAGCCAAUAUUUAUUUGUCAGUUGAAGUAUCUAAAUGUACACUCUCAAAUUUGAAAUACUUACUUAAAUGGAGGCAAAAUUUAAAUGUAUGAUUAUAUAUUAUGUCAAUUAAAAAAAAUAUUCACUCUAGUUUUGACAUCUGUCGUUGACCCACAC
rnacentral:lncRNA from 1 species